UUAAGCGACUAAGCGUACACGGUGGAUGCCCUGGCAGUCAGAGGCGAUGAAGGACGUGCUAAUCUGCGAAAAGCGUCGGUAAGGUGAUAUGAACCGUUACAGCCGGCGAUGUCCGAAUGGGGAAACCCAGUGCAAUUCGUUGCACUAUCGUUAACUGAAUACAUAGGUUAACGAGGCGAACCGGGGGAACUGAAACAUCUAAGUACCCCGAGGAAAAGAAAUCAACCGAGAUUCCCCCAGUAGCGGCGAGCGAACGGGGAGCAGCCCAGAGUCUGAAUCAGCUUGUGUGUUAGUGGAACGGUCUGGAAAGUCCGACGGUACAGGGUGAUAGUCCCGUACACCAAAAUGCACAGGUUGUGAACUCGAAGAGUAGGGCGGGACACGUGGUAUCCUGUCUGAAUAUGGGGGGACCAUCCUCCAAGGCUAAAUACUCCUGACUGACCGAUAGUGAACCAGUACCGUGAGGGAAAGGCGAAAAGAACCCCGGCGAGGGGAGUGAAAAAGAACCUGAAACCGUGUACGUACAAGCAGUGGGAGCACCUUCGGGUGUGACUGCGUACCUUUUGUAUAAUGGGUCAGCGACUUAUAUUCUGUAGCAAGGUUAACCGUAUAGGGGAGCCGCAGGGAAACCGAGUCUUAACUGGGCGUUAAGUUGCAGGGUAUAGACCCGAAACCCGGUGAUCUAGCCAUGGGCAGGUUGAAGGUUGGGUAACACUAACUGGAGGACCGAACCGACUAAUGUUGAAAAAUUAGCGGAUGACUUGUGGCUGGGGGUGAAAGGCCAAUCAAACCGGGAGAUAGCUGGUUCUCCCCGAAAGCUAUUUAGGUAGCGCCUCGUGAACUCAUCUUCGGGGGUAGAGCACUGUUUCGGCUAGGGGGUCAUCCCGACUUACCAACCCGAUGCAAACUACGAAUACCGAAGAAUGUUAUCACGGGAGACACACGGCGGGUGCUAACGUCCGUCGUGAAGAGGGAAACAACCCAGACCGCCAGCUAAGGUCCCAAAGUCACAGUUAAGUGGGAAACGAUGUGGGAAGGCACAGACAGCCAGGAUGUUGGCUUAGAAGCAGCCAUCAUUUAAAGAAAGCGUAAUAGCUCACUGGUCGAGUCGGCCUGCGCGGAAGAUGUAACGGGGCUAAACUGUGCACCGAAGCUGCGGCAGCGACACUUAGGUGUUGUUGGGUAGGGGAGCGUUCUGUAAGCCUGCGAAGGUGGCCUGUGAGGGUUGCUGGAGGUAUCAGAAGUGCGAAUGCUGACAUAAGUAACGAUAAUGCGGGUGAAAAGCCCGCACGCCGGAAGACCAAGGGUUCCUGUCCAACGUUAAUCGGGGCAGGGUGAGUCGACCCCUAAGGCGAGGCCGAAAGGCGUAGUCGAUGGGAAACAGGUUAAUAUUCCUGUACUUGGUGUUACUGCGAAGGGGGGACGGAGAAGGCUAUGUUAGCCGGGCGACGGUUGUCCCGGUUUAAGCAUGUAGGCGGAGGUUCCAGGUAAAUCCGGUACCUUAUUAACGCUGAGGUGUGAUGACGAGGCACUACGGUGCUGAAGUAACAAAUGCCCUGCUUCCAGGAAAAGCCUCUAAGCAUCAGGUAACAUUAAAUCGUACCCCAAACCGACACAGGUGGUCAGGUAGAGAAUACCAAGGCGCUUGAGAGAACUCGGGUGAAGGAACUAGGCAAAAUGGUGCCGUAACUUCGGGAGAAGGCACGCUGAUAUGUAGGUGAAGCCCCUGCGGGUGGAGCUGAAAUCAGUCGAAGAUACCAGCUGGCUGCAACUGUUUAUUAAAAACACAGCACUGUGCAAACACGAAAGUGGACGUAUACGGUGUGACGCCUGCCCGGUGCCGGAAGGUUAAUUGAUGGGGUUAUCCGUAAGGAGAAGCUCUUGAUCGAAGCCCCGGUAAACGGCGGCCGUAACUAUAACGGUCCUAAGGUAGCGAAAUUCCUUGUCGGGUAAGUUCCGACCUGCACGAAUGGCGUAAUGAUGGCCAGGCUGUCUCCACCCGAGACUCAGUGAAAUUGAACUCGCUGUGAAGAUGCAGUGUACCCGCGGCAAGACGGAAAGACCCCGUGAACCUUUACUAUAGCUUGACACUGAACAUUGAGCCUUGAUGUGUAGGAUAGGUGGGAGGCUUUGAAGCGUGGACGCCAGUCUGCGUGGAGCCAACCUUGAAAUACCACCCUUUAAUGUUUGAUGUUCUAACGUUGGCCCCUGACCGGGGUUGCGGACAGUGUCUGGUGGGUAGUUUGACUGGGGCGGUCUCCUCCCAAAGAGUAACGGAGGAGCACGAAGGUUAGCUAAUCCUGGUCGGACAUCAGGAGGUUAGUGCAAUGGCAUAAGCUAGCUUGACUGCGAGCGUGACGGCGCGAGCAGGUGCGAAAGCAGGUCAUAGUGAUCCGGUGGUUCUGAAUGGAAGGGCCAUCGCUCAACGGAUAAAAGGUACUCCGGGGAUAACAGGCUGAUACCGCCCAAGAGUUCAUAUCGACGGCGGUGUUUGGCACCUCGAUGUCGGCUCAUCACAUCCUGGGGCUGAAGUAGGUCCCAAGGGUAUGGCUGUUCGCCAUUUAAAGUGGUACGCGAGCUGGGUUUAGAACGUCGUGAGACAGUUCGGUCCCUAUCUGCCGUGGGCGCUGGAGAAUUGAGGGGGGCUGCUCCUAGUACGAGAGGACCGGAGUGGACGCAUCACUGGUGUUCGGGUUGUCAUGCCAAUGGCAUUGCCCGGUAGCUAAAUGCGGAAGAGAUAAGUGCUGAAAGCAUCUAAGCACGAAACUUGCCCCGAGAUGAGUUCUCCCUGAGACUUUAAGUCUCCUGAAGGAACGUUAAAGACGAUGACGUUGAUAGGUCGGGUGUGUAAGCGUAGCGAUACGUUGAGCUAACCGAUACUAAUGAACCGUGAGGCUUAACCUU
rnacentral:rRNA from 1 species